rnacentral:sRNA from 1 species
UUUGAUUUCUCCCAAGUAACCGUGUGGGUGAACUGUAAACUGGGUGCCUGGCUUGACCCUGACUCUUUUUCUCUAGGAAGCCGUCUUUUUGGAUAAUGCGGUGCCUGACUGUCAGCGUUGUCUAAGAGGGAAACAGCAGGCUCGUGGAGAGGACCUGGGCCAACGCAAAAAACCCAGCGUUUUGUUUGCUGGGCUGUUCUUUGUCUCUAGUUGAUUUUGAAAAGAAGAUGAAAAAGGAAGGCUCUUCAGGUUCCUUCAGACUCCAGCCGAAUACAGGUUCUCUCUCACGUGCUGUGAGUUGGAUAAAUUUCUCCUCCUUGUCCAGGCAGACAAAGAGGCUGUUUCGCAGUGAUGGAGAGCUCUCGGUGUGUGGGCAGCAGGUGGAAGUGGAUGACGAAAACUGGAUAUACAGAGCCCAGCCCAGAAAAGGUGACUCGAUUUUUAAAAAAUUUAAACAUUUGAAAAAGUUUGUUAUGUAGAAUUCUUUGUUUCUAUCACUCCCCCUUCAUGAUUUUUGCCCCCAUUAGGAGUUUCUUUUGAAAUGUUUGUUUUUGUAUUGGAAUUCGGCGUCAUUUGUUGACAUGUCUAAAAUAAAAAUGCUCUUCCUCA